rnacentral:lncRNA from 1 species
GCAAAUUGGAAUGCCCCUGUCUUCCUCCUGUGUCUUAGGUCACAGUUGACCCCAGGGAGGCAUGGGCGACCCAGCAGGGCCGCUCUGAACUGUGGGUGUGGGAGACAUGGUCAGACAAUUCCUUAUCCUACUGCUAGUAAAAUUGAAAUUCUUUGUGUAACAAAUUUGUCAUUCUAAUUGCAAACAAACACAUUAGAAUUGGUUUGUAUUUCAUAACCAAGCACUUCAGGGCUGGCUGUGCAACAGCCCUACAAACGCAAGGCCGUGAAGGAAGUACUGAGUAACUGUUCCAGAUCGAAGGAGACCUGACAAUUUCAUGCAAUGCAGGAGACUGAACCGGGUCCUUUUGUUACCAAGGCAUCUCAAAAACAAACAAACAAACCAAAAACAAUUCUUAGUAUUAUACAUGCAAAUUUUCUAUAAGUUUGCCACUGUUUCUAAGCUUAAAAAACUAUUAGUAUAGGCCCUGGGCACAGUGGCACACACCUGUAAUCCCAGCAUUUUAGGAGGCUGAGGUGGGAGGAUCACCUGAGUCCAGGAGUUCAAAACCAGCCUGGGAAACAUACUGAGACUUGUCUCUACAAAAAAUAAAAAGACAAAAACUAGCUGGGUAUGGUGGUGUGUGCCCAUAGUCCUAGUUAUUUGGGAGGCUGAGGUGGGAGGAUUGCUUGAGCUCGGGAGGUGGAGGCUGCAGUGAGCCAAGAUCUCACCACUGCACUCUAGCCUGGGCAACAGAGUGAGAUACUGCCUCAAAAAAGGAGAAAUUAUUAGCACAAA